GAUAUCGAAUUCGAAAGUGGUUCGUCUAUGGCGCCACUUUUCCCGCGUGAAACAACCCCGCGAUCGUUUAACCUUAACCAAUGAUACUCACUUUGUACAAGGUUCUCGUAUUAGCACGGCGAAGAAAAGGGAGGAGAGAAUCGUCGAGCAGAAAAAUAACGAAACGUGUCUCGCGUACGUUACAAGAGGAAGCAACACAUCUCGCGUACAAAUUGAUGCGACAAACUUCAUGCCGUUCCGAUAAUGAACGACUGAAUAAAUCACCAUUCACUUCUAAAGGAACAGGAAGAUGCACGCCUGUAUACAGGCGGAAAUGAAUCAGUUGCACGCAGUGUCACGAGAAAUGUCGUCAGACCAGAAUACAAGGAAGCGACUGUCAUGAUUUAAUCGACGAACCAAUGAGACUUUCUGUCGUCCUCGAAGGAUAUAAACACUCUCGAAACUGCGCUCUAUACGAGAGGUUGCUCCAAAGGAAAAUCACACAAGACUACGAUGGCAACGCUCGACAAUUAAAAUGCCUGCGAUCACUGAGAUUCCGUCGAAAGUUUUUGUUGGUAUUGAUACGGCAGGAUGCACGAGGAUUUUGAACGAACGACGCGCGUCAAAACACCCGUAUGCCUGACGGCUCUCGCUGCCGAGAUAUAACUGACACGACACACGCAACUACCUACUCUCGCGCUCGAACCGUGGAACGAUGAAACGGAACGUCCGGAACGCCGGAACUACGGAACGAUAUAUACCUGAAUCGCGUUUCAGCGCAACUUUAGGCGUGCCUUUAACCACCCGACACCACGUUUAAUGGAAAUAGAGGGUGUGCUCCUGAGGUCUAUGUCCCUGAAUUCUCGAGUUCGCUGAACUCUGGCAUCAUGGAAUAUGUGAGGUAUCAAUUCAUUUCGAAGAAGAUGCCAGGCACCAUGGUUGGUAACACGCCAUAAAGACACCACUAACAGCUGUUUGUCACGCAAAAAUGAAGCAACAAAGAAGAAACCAUUCAAGGUAAUAUUGACAUCUGUCAAGGUAUAUAGGCGAUACGCGCGAGAACGAAACGGCAGAAGAACGUAUAUAACGGCGAAGGGUGAAAAGAAAUAUGGAGAACUGCUCGAAGAACUGGUAGACGGCGCAUAAAAAAUGCCAAAUGUUUCGGGAUGUACGAGGCAACGCGAACCUCGUCGACGCCAUUAACUCUUGAAUUUUUAAUACGUGAACGUACAGCCCUUGCGUAUCAUGAAUUCUGCCUUGAAGCACGGCGACAUGCUUGAAACAUCGAACAUCGAACGUCGAGCCACGCGUUUGUUCGAUCGUCGACUAAAAAGGGAACCGCUUACAACGAAGAAACACACCCCAGCAAAAUGGUUCUUUUUCGCGAUUAGCGCCGGUGUCACGGCACUUCCGCUGUGUCUCUACCUCGCGCCACAUCCUAUCGCCUUUUACUUCUUCCCUUCUUUAAUAUUCAGCCACCGUUCUCGUAACCUACGUUGUGCCGCCGCGCCGCCAGACACACGUAAAUACGCGUACCUCACAAAUAUAUCGCGCAUGUGUGCAACGUGUUAUCCUCUGUGCGUGUCACUAUGCGCCUGUUCGCAGCAUAUGCAUACAAGCGUGCAUUCUCUGCGAGACAAUGGGCGUGCCCACCUCACGUGACUGGCACGUGAGCACCCUUAAAAAGGGCCCUCGGUUGCUGACGUUCAUUCAUACUGGUCCGCCUGUUUCGUGGUCGACACUGAUGACCCUACACCGCGCGUCGGAAAGUCAAGAAGAAUCGAACGACAGAAAGAGCAGAAAACCGCUGUUUAACCGUGUACCAUUCAGAGACGGUUUUCGUGAGUCUUGCAGGUGCGCGGACGAUUACACCGUGCAAACUAUGCGUCACCGUAACAAUGUCCUUUGCUCGACAGCUUCAACCGCUGCCCGACAGAAGUACCCUGCCGGGACAGGAGAAUAAUCCGUGGAACGAAUGCAGUGAACUUGUUACUUAAAUAAGCCGUGAAAGAUGGAGUGUGUUUGGAUAAAGGUAAAUAAACGCGUCCUGUGCAUCAAGUACAAUGACCUUUCGUACUUCUGAAUUCGUAUUUAUUCAACCAUUUAAGCUCUUUAUACAAUAUAUGUACGCAAGUAUUAUAAAUGAGAAGACGAUCGACGACAGGAUUCUUCGAUUUACGAAAUGCGGUGUAAUAAAAGCGAGCAAGUGAACGGCAAUGUCAAUGGUUUCACGACUAUUCUUGGAUCUCUUCCAAUAGCGCUAUCGUGCUCGGAAUCGAUAAAGGAACUAACGUUUAUUAUUUCGCAAGCAACCCCUCCCGUGUGAACGCGCUCGACCCUCACAAAUCGUAAUUGCCGGGCAACGAACAGGCAUGUCUAGCUGCUCUAUGAGAUAGCUUGCCUCUGAGUCACUCCCCCGCGGUGCGUUUAAACUUUGAACGCUUUCUGCACGUCGGACCGACACGUUACACUGCGCAAUAAUUGUAACGACUCUUUGCUUCGUUCAUGAAUCGACCGCUUCGGGCUGGCAACUGUUUCGUGCGUGUUCCAAUGUAUACGCGGAAAAUCAGGCUGAAUAGUUGCUUUGGAAAGCGAGACGCCAGUGUUUGAUAAUGCAAAUUCUUGUUUCAAUUUAUACAUUUUUAUAAAGAUUUCUUUUUCAUAUUGGCUUUAUAUCGCAUCGACACCUCGACCAUUAGCGACAAGUAGAGAUUAUUCUUUUGCCAGUCUCUUCUGUUGCAAAAAUCAGACGAAUCUACCUCGAUAAAUUUUCCACACUUUCUUAGGUAAGUAGUCACUUUUCUUCGAGAAAGUUACGCGAACCUCUACGUAGAUGGUAAUCUGCGGAAAAAAGUUCUGAUGAGUAGAAGGAACAAGGAACCAUCUACUGGUUGGAUUGCUGUAAUUUUUUGCACAUUCAAGUUGUUGCAAUCUAAUUUACAUUAACAUAGAACAGAAUUGGCUUUUCCCAAGUGAGCAAAAUUUUCAUCGCGUGCAAGAGGCAGACACACCAUACGAAUAAACGGACAGCGAAACUUUCAGCUCGCAACUAGGUUUAAAACUGAAAUUCAACAGGUGGACCAUGCAAAUAUUUGUCGGAAACGAGGCAUUCGUAUAAUACCACUCAUCAAUAGUGUUGCCCCGGGCAUUACCAUCUACGCACAGAAAAAGAGAUUCCUUCAUCGUGGAGAAAAUUGACAGCUCCGAAACGUCUUCUUUCGUCGAUAACAUUCAGAUCGAUGAUGAUUAGAAUUUCUAUGUCAUCGAACGAAACUGUAAGGGCAAGCAUCCUGGA